GACGAACGCUGGCGGCGUGCUUAACACAUGCAAGUCGAACGAAGUGGCGAACGGGUGAGUAACGCGUAAUCAACCUGCCCUUCAGAGGGGGACAACAGUUGGAAACGACUGCUAAUACCGCAUACUGAAGGAGGGGAUUGCGUCUGAUUAGCUCGUUGGAGGGGUAACGGCCCACCAAGGCGAUGAUCAGUAGCCGAUCUGGGAGGAGGAAAGGCCACAAGGGGUAUGAGAGACGGCCCUUACUCCUACGGGAGGCAGGAGUGGGGAAUAGUGGACAAUGGACCAGAGUCUGUUACAGAAAUUCUGUGUGAACGAUGAAUUUUUUCGGAAUGAAAAGUGCUUUGAGUUGGGAAGCGGUACCAAAAGAAGAAGUGACGGCUAAAUACGUGCCAGCAGCCGCGGUAAUAC
rnacentral:rRNA from 1 species